rnacentral:rRNA from 1 species
GGUUGUCGUCAGCUCGUGUCGUGAGAUGUUGGGUUAAGUCCGCAACGAGCGCAACCCCUACUUGUUAGUUUGCCAUCAUUCAGUUUGGGCACUCUAGCGAGACUGCCGGUAAUAAACCGGAGGAAGGUGGGGAUGACGUCAAAUCAUCAUGCCCCUUAUGACCUGGGCUACACACGUGCUACAAUGGUUGGUACAACGAGUUGCGAGUCGGUGACGGCGAGCUAAUCUCUUAAAGCCAAUCUCAGUUCGGAUUGUAGGCUGCAACUCGCCUACAUGAAGUCGGAAUCGCUAGUAAUCGCGGAUCAGCACGCCGCGGUGAAUACGUUCCCGGGCCUU